ACUAAACGGUCACAGCCAUUUAUGUGUUCUAGGGUCUGUUCGUGUAUUUGGCACCUGUCAACUUUUCUGAGUCUCUCAUGCAAUUUAUAAAUUCUUGCUAUUCUACAAUUUUACUAAUGUUCCAUUAAGUAAUGAGAACGAAGUUUUAUUAGUGAAGAUGUUCUAAAGCUGCUGAGAAAUGGGGUGGCAUAGGAUUGCGAAAAUGCACGUAAAAAAUAGUCCUGGCGCUUUGCUUUCUUAAUUGCUAGCAAUGAAAAAUCCCUAAUAAAAUUAGCAAAGGGACACUUGCUUUAGGUAAGUUCAUUAAGAUACGUUCCAGAAGCAGGCUAAGUUUGCAGCAACAAAAGCACUGAGAAAAACUCACUGAUCUAAAAACAUGUUAGUUUCUGCUUUUCCAAGUGUGCUGCUUGUGUACAGUGUGUCACGGUAAAUAAUGGUUAAUAAUGUAUGCAUAGAAAAGUGUGGAUGCUGAGAGAAAGCUUUAGGAAAGUGCGUGCUGUCUUUCCAACACAGGAUUUCUGUCUAGAAUUUUUGUAAAAUAUGAAGUGCACAGGCUGGCAAACAAUGUUCAACACUUUUGCUUUAGAUUUUAAUGUAGCCAGUUCAUUAUGUGUCCCUAGUAUAGCUUAGCGUCAAGCUUGAAGCUGAUCUCUGAUGUCACAUCAGUUGCAGGAUGCAAUAACGUGGUAUCACAUACUGCUUGUUACGCAUGUCAGUAAACCUGGUGCAGUUGUCACAGGUGAGAGUAUAACUGAAAGCUGCGCAUUCUUUGCCCUUCUGCACAUGAUGUGGGAUAGAGUUUGAACUAUGCUAUAGUGGCACCAUCUCCCUCACCUUCUCUUCCUCAUUAUUCUGUCAACUUGCAAUAAUAUGCACAACUUCUAGAGGCUUGAUUAUGGUGUUGUCUGCUGAACUUGGCUGAUGUGAAUUUCAGUAGUUUGGGGUACCCUCAAAGCUAUGCUGUACUUUUCAUGCAUUUUAAAAUGGUCAGUUUGACAUAUGUGAUUGGCUGUGGCAUUCUGAGAGAAACAAGGCCUCUUGUGAAUAAUGCAUAUAUGCAUUAUUAGCAUUUUCUAAUACUCUUUCAAGAAGCAGCCUACAGGCUGCUCCCCGAAGAAGUGACCACCUUUGCUUACGCUACGUGGCAGUCUGGUCCAGUUUACUUAACCUGUCUGCCAUCUAUGCACGAAAACGAGGAGAGAAGCGAAAAAAGGGACCUUCGAUUUAUGUUUUUGCACAGAUGGCUCAUACAUUGCACUUUUCUUAUCUCGCAUGCUUUGUUAACUCAAAGCUUUCUAUGGGCGAAUAUCAUUUCAUUCCUAUUUAUACCUAAUAAGAAUUACUUAGUUCACAGUGUCACUUUUUAUAUUAUACUUUUGUGAGACUAAGCUCACUUGUUUUAAUGCAAGUGUGGCUGGGCCUGCAGAAAGAGUAAGCAGACUACUGUGUUGCUGAUCAGUGCUGAUCUCCACGUCCGAGCUGGUCCCACAACAUCCAGGCACCACUGUGCUUUGCUUCAUUGACAAGGUGUGGCUGGGCCUGCAGAAAAGCUGUAAGGAGACUGCAGUGUUGCUGAUCAGUGCUGAUCUCCACGUCCGAGCUGGUCCCACAACAUCCAGGCACCACUGUGCUUUCACAAGAUGCAUACGAGCACUGUUUCAAAAACGCCGAACACUGUGGAUACGGAGGCAAGGAGGCUGAAGGACCUGAACAAGCACCUGGUCACGAUGCUUCGGAAUACAAAAUAAAGAUGGUUUGUGUUAA